rnacentral:rRNA from 1 species
GCUUGUCUCAAAGAUUAAGCCAUGCAUGUCUAAGUAUAAACAAAUCUAUACUGUGAAACUGCGAAUGGCUCAUUAUAUCAGUUAUAGUUUAUUUGAUAGUCCCCACUACUUGGAUAACCGUAGUAAUUCUAGAGCUAAUACAUGCGUCAAACCUCGACUUCUGGGAGAGGUGUAUUUAUUAGAUGGAAACCAAUGCGGGGCAACCCGGAUUAUGGUGAUUCAUAAUAACUUUCAGAUCGAUCGCAAGAUCGAUGCAUCAUUCAAGUUUCUGCCCUAUCAGCUUUGGAUGGUAGGGUAUUGGCCUACCAUGGCUUUAACGGGUAACGGAGAAUUAGGGUUCGAUUCCGGAGAGGGAGCCUGAGAAACGGCUACCACAUCCAAGGAAGGCAGCAGG